rnacentral:lncRNA from 1 species
GCAAGCCAAGACUAGUCAUAUGUGCUCUCUUAUUCUUUCAUUCUGCUUACUUCUCUAUUCACUGGUAUGUCCUAGUUUUAAUUUAAAGCUCCAACAACAAUUUGUUGCUCUUAUUGUUUCGAUUUCUCUUAUUUAUUAUUUUCGUCUACUUAUGGUUCUAUUGUGAAACUUGUAGUUAAGUUACAUUAUCAGCAUGCUAUUAUGUCUCCCCUUCCCUCUACAUUAAUAUAUUCCCUUAUGUGUGUUUCAAAGCAUGCCUUGUCAGUUGUCUUUUACUUUUUGUGUGCUUACCAUCCUAUGAAUCCCCAAAUCCUUAUCACCCAUUCUAUGUGUUUAUGUUCUUCCUGACUGGUUUGUGAUUAUGCCAAUGUCUAUUGUUUCUGAGUAUUUUGGUAAAAGAUUUGAGUUUUCACUAAUGUUCUUGAAAAGUGAAACUAUUUUCGAAAAACUAUGAAAAGCUGAGCAUUUUAUCUUUGAGUUACUUCCUUAUUUAUCUCUUACGCUAUUAUGAACUGCUAUUGGUUAUUGGUGUUGGAAUCGACCUGUGUUCCAGCUCAUCAUUGCUUUCAACCUAAGUUUAGGUUUAUUACUUAUUGAGUACGUGUGGUCGGUUGUACUCAUACUACAGUUCCUGCAC